AUUCUUUAACUUCCAUUAUGUCAUGUAUAUGCAGUGAGUAUGAAUUGACCGAUUUCAUGGGAAACGCCCACUGCCAUGACGUCACAAAAUGGCAUCUAUACGACGGAAAACAAAUCACAUGCGGUCGCGUGCUUGAGCAUUGUACCAUGACGUCUCUUCAAAAUCUAAAUAAAUUUACAAUCAAAAUAAGGUUUGACUACUUUAAACGCCAUUCAAACAACACAAGAUCAAAAGAACGUGGUUUUUCCUAUUUUAGUGCAAGUUAUAUACAUGAAUCGAAAGAAAAUAUAUUAUCGGCCA
rnacentral:lncRNA from 1 species